rnacentral:tRNA from 1 species
UCNAGAAGACCACGACUGAUCCUCAAAGGUAAU